AUCACAUGAUGAGGACACUUAUGAAGCAAUUCCUUGAAUCUUUCAAAUGCCUUAUAUAAAGACUCGUCAUCCAAUUAUUGAAAAAUAGUUAUCUCAUUUCGCAACUU
rnacentral:snoRNA from 1 species